CGCAGCGGUAUCGACGAGCAUCAAAGAACCUCUGGGCAGGACCGAGUAUCUGUCCGUCUGUGCGUUUGAAAGGAGUGUAAAUAUGGAGCAUAAAGGCUGUUGUAACCCCCCACCCGCUCCCAGCAUCCACUGUUCUCUCCUCCCUGCAAACGGAUGGUUUAUUAGGCCGGUACCAAACUAAACACACACACACCCACACCCACACCACCCAACUCUCAGACGGGUGUAUCCCGAGGCCCCCUGCUGUGCCUGCAGCGUUUGAUGAUGUCUUUAACGGCUUCAUUCAUCUCAAAGCUUGUUCCUUUUAACCAGCAGGUUUUCAUCUUCCUCACCCACGUGUCCAAAGCCGCUGCGGCGAACACAAACGCGCCUCUUGGUCAACUUUGCGGCCAAAUGACAGUUAAUUCCUCCUCUUUAAACUGAUCUGGAAACACUCCUCCUCACGUCUCCACCCCUCCUUCCUCCCACUUUGACUCUCAUCCCCGGCUCUUUCUCUCUUACCUCUUACAGCUGGUGGGUACCAUUUCCAAUCCUGUUAGAGUUGUAUGUCCUCUGGAGGAGCCCUUCUGUUUGUCUGUCAUCUGCCUGAAAAUCACAUAUACAUGUUUUUUUUACUGUCACACUCUCGGACCUCUGCAGCAGCUGUUGUCCGACAAAAACACACAUCAUUAGCAACAGAAUACGCCGAGUUUGACCAACAUUCAUGUUCCAGCAGACAGAAUAAAGCCCAUCUUUCACACUAUCAGCGGAUUUUUGACAUACAGUUCAUUUAAAUAACAGAUAAAACUGUACUCGGAGCUGCAAACGCAGGGAAGUUACAGUGAAAAAGCAGGUUCGACAUUUAAAAGCCUCACUUUGAGUUUGUGUAACUGUUGUAGAGUUUAUUCUUUAACUCAGAAAUAUUACAAGAACUGUCUUCUGUUCCCAUAAUCCCCUUUAAAACCUAUGUACAACCACAAUCCCCAAAAAGUUUAGAUAUUUUGUGAAAUGUUGCCAAAAGCUGUUGCUUCAGUAUUUUGGAUAUCCCUAUACUUUGAGCCGCACUCGACUGAAACUAUGGGAGAAAAAACAGCGUAGUAUCGUGAUAUUUUGUCUGGUGAUAUAUCUUGUCAUCUCAUUUCAAAUUAAUCGCUAAUAUAAAGUUAAAUAUGUGAUAAUGGAAAAAUAAAAUCAACUGUUUGUCCACUAAGGUUGACAGAGGAGACAUCAUAGAGCAGGAGAAAGUUAGUACAUCAAAUAUAUAAGGUUUGGAAUAUACGCUACAUGAAAAUAGAAUACAGCAUAAAUAAGACAAACAUAAAGAAAGACAAAUGCUAAAUUAGAUAGACAGUUGAAAAAAUUGUAAAAAUCAAGUAUCAUGAUAAUACCGUAUCGUGGGGCCACUAGUAAUUCCCACCCCUAACUGAAACUGCUGCAAACAUGUUAAAAUUGUUAAAUUAUAUUGUUUGUUGAAAUUAUAUGAUCAUUUUUGAAUUUGACUAAACCAUCGUCUGUGAUCACAUUCAGCCUGUUAUCAGCACACAGCUCAAAAAAACCUGCAUUUAUGAUGGUAUCAGGGAUGAGGGGUGAGAAUCACCAGUGGCCCCUCGAUACGAUGUUAUCACGGUGAUUUUUAACAUUUUGUAAUACAGUGAGUACUGCGUUAUGAUAUAUUGAGAUUUAUACAACAACACUAUCCUGUCUCUUUUAGCUCCAUGAACAGAUCCUUUUGAUUCACUUCAAACAUCUUUAAAUAUCAGUGUCAGCAUGUUUGUAUAUGGAGUGUAUAUGGAGCCAGAUAACAAGCAGGACAAUGUAUAACGAGCAGGUGGUCGUGUAAAGUAAAGUAUUUAACAUUUCUGUCCUGUAAUUUGGACCCUUAAGUUCAUUAUAAGCAGAAUUUAAUAAAGGCAAUCUUACCUACUAGAACUGAUCAUCAUUAAGAAUAAGACUAACAGUAAUUAAAGCUGUUUAAAUGUCACAAAUUCACUUUCUUUUCUCGCACGCCGCCCCGCUGUCUCUCUGCCCCCGUGUCACCCCUCCUGUCGAACUAAUUGUCAAGGUUCUUGUUAGCAUUAUGCUAAAUGCGCCUCUCUGCAGAGAAAGCCACCCAGUGAUAUGGAAAGCACUCUUACAAGGAUUACACCGCUCGUGGGACCGAGGGAGUGAGUGUGUGGAGGGAAGAAACAAGAAAAAGACUAAAUGUUUUAUUUCCCCAAACCUUCCUCCUCUUCAGCAUGCUCCAGGCACAUAAACAGUUAUUUACAUUCAAACAGCAACUUCGUCCCAGGUAUUAAGAAAACUAAUUUCCCAACAUUAAUGGUCCCCUUAAGAUGCCCCCUUAUUUCCUCCACAAAUUACUGCUCCUCUAAUCCUAAUCAACUAAAUCCGUCUGCUGGUCGCUCCGUUUUCAGCGACAAAUACAAAUGUUUGGAAUCAAUACGAGCACUCUUGGCCUACCUGUAGGAUUGUUGGGGUAACAGCUAAUGGCACCAGGCUAACAGGCUGGAGAGGGUUGAUAAGCAUUUCUCAUUACUGAACCCCAUUCACACAGCUGGCUGCUACACACACACACACACACACACACACACACACACACACACACACACACACACACACACACACACACACACACACACACACACACAACUGCAGAUGCUCUCAGAGAAAUAGAUGUCCUCCAAACCAUUUUCCCAUCAGCGUAACAAUAGAUAUAAAUAAAUAAAGAAAUGGUUGGUAUGUGCAUCUAUUGACAAUGCACGCUUGUGUGUGUGUGUGACAAAAGAGAAAGCUUCUGGAGAGCCAUAAACUGACACCCAGGGAUGCACAAAAUAACAGAAAAGCCUCACCAUACAAUAGCUGUGCAGUAAAUACCCAUUUAGCAAAGCUUAUAAUCCCUUUUUGGUGGUAGCUACCAGAUGUUCAGGUUCAACUCUGUGGUCAUUUUUGCGGCCAUAAUUCCUUAUCAAUCAAACGGCACAUUCACUAUCCAAGUCAACUUUGCAGGUUGCCAUAAGUUUCAACUUUCCCUAAUUUUUUUUUUCAAGAGUUUGUCCGCUGACGUACUUUCUAAUCUGCUUUUGCAUGUGACUAUUUACAUGUUUGCUGCUGUAUUCCUGGGCUUUGUUGAACGACUGCAGGAGAGACUGCUGACAGGUUUCUGCUUUUACUUUCAGACACACUUGGACGUCCACAACUGUCCGGCCUAUUUGAAAUACUUCUGUUGACGGGAUGAAGCUUGCUGCUGGUGGAUGUAAGCCAUCGUUGUAUGUGCAUUACUUUAUCAGCCUUACAUACUAGAGGAAAAUUUCAUAUCUGCCAAUUCUGAUAAUUAACUUUUUCAAUCUUUAUCAUCUGAUACCAAGAGUAUGAUUUUAAUACUCUGCAUCCCCAGUUCAUGCUUUCAGUACUGAAACAUAAAUACAGAAUGCAUUUAUCCACAUCUACAUGCACCCCUUAUUUUAUAUUUUCCCAUAUAACACCAUCCAUACUGUUCCGUACUGUUAUACAUUGGUAUUACUUCUUAAUCAUUAAAUUUUUAAAUUGUUGUUAUUAUCUACCCUUUCCUCUGCACUCUUUAUCCUUUAUUCAAUUAUGUUUAUCUUUUACCAUGACCUUUUGUAAACCAGCAUCAAUUUAACUCUACCUCAUGCUAAAGUGAAAAUAAAGAAUUAAAAUUGUUAGCGUUGUAUUAGUCAAGCUUUGUCCCCUUAAAAACCUUAUAUACCCUCACACUGAGGAGGAACUCUGAAAUUGCCAAUUAUACCGUAUAUCUCAGGGCUUCGUAGGAAAUGUAUACCAUAAAAAAUAAGGCAGUUUAAUAGCUGAAAAAUAUGUGUUAAUUAUAACAAAAUAAUAGCUCUGAAAUGUUCAAGUAUUAUCUAUUCAAGUUAGACACAACUGAAGCUGCUAAAUGAAAGCCAGAAAAUUCAGCACACGGCUUUUACUGGCUAAGAAAUAACAAUAGAGCUCCGUUACAAAAGAUGAUGACAGGUAGCUCAUAGCAGCAGUAUUUCAAUCAGUUUGUGUGUGUGUGUGUGUGUGUGUGUGUGUGUGUGGUUUCUUAUUUGAAGCUACACUUAGACCUUUCUGAAAAAGCAGAAAAGUCUUGGGUAAAAAAUAACAGCUCGUGAAAAAGGUUUCCUUCAGACACAGCUUAUCUUGUUUUGUAAGAAAAACGAAAAUCUGCAUGUUUAGGAACCAAAAGGGGGUUCAACUAACUAUUUUAAAUGUGACACAAAAAAAGCGUCUAUAGGAGCACUUUAAAACUGAAAGCUCAACAUUUACAUCCUUGACAUGUUCAUUCUGCGCUGUGAGAGAGGAGGCUGCAGCGGUGAAAGGGUUGAAGCCAUUGUUCUGGUAAAGUGAGACAAAUGAGACCCUGGAGAGCACUACUUAGUCCCUCAUAAAGGUCAGAUAUGGAGCCACACCAAUGGAUGCUAAUCCUGACCCUGGGGACUGUGUGCACAUGCGCCUUUGGAUGCAAUUGUUUCACAGGCCCGUGACAUUUAAACCUGAAUAAGUGUACAAUCCUGGGUGGCUGAACAAUGCGUACGUGUCUGUUUGCCGAUUUGGCUGAAGAGCAGUUGGCUUUAGCACCUGGUGAGAUUUAAUUAGACAUGGCCAUGGGGGCAAUUAAAACAUCAGAGGCUAUUUACUCUUGUAGACAACACAAAAGCGAUUACUACUGUAAAUGUUCUCUUGAUGCAAGAAUAUUGAAAACCAUUUUACAGAUUGGACGAAAUAUUCUCAACUCAAAUAAUCCUAUAAAUUACACCUGGAUUUGCAUUAAAUUAUAUUCAUUUUACAGUCUUUAUUAUGACGAGUAUUUCACCUGACAGGAUAAUCAUUAAGAUGUGACCGCUGUGAUAUCAUUACGAGGCAUCACUGUAUGUGAGCCAUUAUAUAUAGGCAAGUCACCCAGUCUAAUUGGUAUUGUGCUAAUAACACAGUGGCAGGCUGAAAACAUCCAGUCCUUUCCCCCUGUGUUGCAGCUGUAAGCCUGUCAGCGGGUCACACUGAUUGGAGCACCUGAGGGCCGGUAGGAACGCAAUUUGUGAGUUUUUAGCUGAAUAUGGCGGAGAUAACGACUGACGGGUCACAACCAGAGUCAGUACAAGUGUAAUGAGCAGAAAGAAAUUCACUAUUUCGUUAAUGUGAACGUGACAGAGAAAAAAGACUUUGUAAGUCCUAAGUAUGGUUAAUGCAUUUAUUGAAUGCAAGUGAAAACCUAAUUAUAAUGCACCACUUUUCAGGAAAUUUUUAUUUAUUUAUUACAGUUUCUCCUCAUUUUAGUUAUUUGCCUACCAUCAAGUCUUUGAACAAAGUGAACUUCUCCAAAGACAAACUAUAAAACUCCUCAUGACCUUUGCCAACAGACUCGGUGGACACAGAGACCCAGGACAAUACUACAAAAACAUGUGCACAAAAGAUUGUUUACAACAUACAAGUGAUGGAGUAAAAACUGGAACGAAAAGGGAAUAAAGCAGCUCUUGUAUUUCUCUGUCUAACUGUAAACCCUGUUAGACAGGGAUAUCUCCAUGAUUGCUAAAUGUAUUACCCUGAAAAUAAAUGUAGGGGCUUAAAUUACAAGAGGCUGAACCCUUUUUAGUACAUUUUAGUAGAUUUUUAAAUAUAAUUUUUUCAUGCUACUGUCAGCCCUGUAACAGGUCUUGAGACAUAAAGAUUUAUUUUCUUUCUGAACUGGCUGUAUUAAAUUGAGACUGAAUCAAUAUGUUAUUCCCUGGCUUUUGCGUUUAAUAUUACCAACAUCUAACCCAAAUGAUAACAAGUUCGAUUUGGUUUCAUAUCCGAAUUAUCUCUCAAAAAAUGACUAAAACCAGUCAGGUCUCGUCUGUCUUUAAGUGGUGUUUGGUUAGCGUGCUAGCAGGCGACAUUUAAACUGUCCGAUCUCCUGACCAUAGAUAUCUAUAAGAAAGACGUUUAUACACACACACAUUUAUAUGUAUAUAUGAUAAUAUAUGAUUGGGAUGGUCUACCCUCGGUACGUCUUCCUGGUUGACUCACCAAAUGUCCCUGUCCCCAGGCUUGCGUCAUGACUGAUAUGAGGAAAAGCCACAGAGAGCAACCAUAGACUGUAUUGGAGAGAAUGGACAGCGUCUGAGUGAAGCCACUCCGAGAACAGCACCCUCUGGUGACGGG